rnacentral:rRNA from 1 species
GACGAACGCUGGCGGCGCGCCUAACACAUGCCAGUCGAACGAGCGAGCGAGAGCUUGCUUUCUCGAGCGAGUGGCGAACGGGUGAGUAACGCGUGAGGAACCUGCCUCAAAGAGGGGGACAACAGUUGGAAACGACUGCUAAUACCGCAUAAGCCCACGGCUCGGCAUCGAGCAGGGGGAAAAGGAGCAAUCCGCUUUGAGAUGGCCUCGCGUCCGAUUAGCUAGUUGGUGGGGUAACGGGCCACCAAGGCGACGAUCGGUAGCCGGACUGAGAGGUUGAACGGCCACAUUGGGACGGAGACACGGCCCAGACUCCUACGGGAGGCAGCAGUGGGGAAUAUUGCACAAUGGGGGGAACCCUGAUGCAGCGACGCCGGGUGGAGGAAGAAGGUCUUCGGAUUGUAAACUCCUGUUGUUGGGGAAGAUAAUGACGGUACCCAACAAGGAAGUGACGGCUAACUACGUG